rnacentral:rRNA from 1 species
GACGAACGCUGGCGGCGCGCCUAACACAUGCAAGUCGGGCGAGAACCGGGCUUUCGGGCCCGGGGAAAGCGGCGAACGGGUGAGUAACACGUGGGUAACCUGCCCUCGGCACCGGGAUAGCCCGGGGAAACUCGGAUUAAUACCGGAUGGCCUCCGGAGCCUUCGGGCGCCGGAGAAAAGGUGGCUCCGGCAUCUGGCCGAGGAGGGGCCUGCGGCGGAUUAGCUUGUUGGUGGGGUAAUGGCUCACCAAGGCGACGAUCCGUAGCUGGUCUGAGAGGACGAUCAGCCACACUGGGACUGAGACACGGCCCAGACUCCUACGGGAGGCAGCAGUGGGGAAUCUUGCGCAAUGGGCGAAAGCCUGACGCAGCGACGCCGCGUGCGGGAAGAAGGCCUUCGGGUUGUAAACCGCUUUCAGGAGGGACGAAGCUCCUCGGGUGAACAGCCCAGAGGGUGACGGUACCUCCAGAAGAAGCCCCGGCUAACUACGUGCCAGCAGCCGCAGUAAGAC